rnacentral:rRNA from 1 species
GACGAACGCUGGCGGCGUGCUUAACACAUGCAAGUCGAACGGAAAGGCCUGUCCUUCCUUGUGUUGGACGGGUACUCGAGUGGCGAACGGGUGAGUAACACGUGAGUGAUCUGCCCCCAACUUGGGUAUAAGCCUGGGAAACUGGGUCUAAUUCCCGAUAGGACUGCAGGGUGGUGCCUGUGGUGGAAAACGAUUUUCUAGUGGUUGGGGAUGAGCUCGCGGCCUAUCAGCUUGUUGGUGGGGUAAUGGCCUACCAAGGCGGCGACGGGUAGCCGGCCUGAGAGGGUGGACGGCCACAUUGGGACUGAGAUACGGCCCAGACUCCUACGGGAGGCAGCAGUGGGGAAUAGUGCACAAUGGGCGGAAGCCUGAUGCAGCGACGCCGCGUGGGGGAUGACGGCCUUCGGGUUGUAAACUCCUUUCGACCGCGAGGAAGCCGCCUGGUUGGAAGGGUGGUGACGGUAGUGGUAGAAGAAGCACCGGCUAACUACGUG